rnacentral:rRNA from 1 species
CCUACGGGAGGCAGCAGUGGGGAAUAUUGCACAAUGGGGGAAACCCUGAUGCAGCGACGCCGCGUGAGUGAAGAAGUAUUUCGGUAUGUAAAGCUCGAUCAGCAGGGAAGAAAAUGACGGUACCUGACUAAGAAGCCCCGGCUCAAUACGUGCCAGAAGCCGCGGUAAUACGUAGGGGGCAAGCGUUAUCCGGGUUUACUGGGUGUAAAGGGAGGGUAGACGGCAGCGCAAGUCUGGAGUGAAAUCCCAUGGCUUAAACAUGGGACUGCUUUGGAAACUGUGCAGCUAGAGUGCAGGAGAGGUAAGCGGAAUGCGUAGUGUAGCGGUGAAAUGCGUAGAUAUUAGGAGGAACACCAGUGGCGAAGGCAGCUUACUGGACUGUAACUGACGUUGAGGCUCGAAAGCGUGGGGAGCGAACAGGAUUAGAUACCCGGGUAGUC